AGCAGUAGGGAAUCUUCCGCAAUGGACGAAAGUCUGACGGAGCAACGCCGCGUGAGUGAUGAAGGUUUUCGGAUCGUAAAACUCUGUUGUUAGGGAAGAACAAGUACCAGAGUAACUGCUGGUACCUUGACGGUACCUAACCAGAAAGCCACGGCUAACUACGUGCCAGCAGCCGCGGUAAUACGUAGGUGGCAAGCGUUGUCCGGAAUUAUUGGGCGUAAAGCGCGCGCAGGCGGUCCUUUAAGUCUGAUGUGAAAGCCCACGGCUCAACCGUGGAGGGUCAUUGGAAACUGGGGGACUUGAGUACAGAAGAGAAGAGUGGAAUUCCACGUGUAGCGGUGAAAUGCGUAGAGAUGUGGAGGAACACCAGUGGCGAAGGCGACUCUUUGGUCUGUAACUGACGCUGAGG
rnacentral:rRNA from 1 species